rnacentral:rRNA from 1 species
UGGGGAAUCUUGCGCAAUGCACGAAAGUGUGACGCAGCAACGCCGCGUGGGGGAAGAAGGUCUUCGGAUUGUAAACCCCUUUCAGUUGGGACGAGGGUUACACGGUGAAUAGCCGGCGUAACUGACGGUACCUUCAGAAGAAGCCCCGGCUAACUACGUGCCAGCAGCCGCGGUAAUACGUAGGGGGCAAGCGUUAUCCGGAAUCAUUGGGCGUAAAGCGCGUGUAGGCGGUUAAGUAAGUCCGCUCUGAAAGCCCAGGGCUCAACCCUGGGAGGCGGGUGGAAACUACUUGACUAGAGUCCGGAAAGAGGAGAUUGGAAUUCCUGGUGUAGCGGUGAAAUGCGCAGAUAUCAGGAGGAACACCAACAGCGAAGGCAGAUCUCUGGGACGUGACUGACGCUGAGACGCGAAAGCGUGGGGAGCAAACAGGAUUAGAUACCCUGGUAGUCCACGCCGUAAAACGAUGAAAUACUAGGUGUAGGGGGUAUCGACUCCCUCUGUGCCGAAGCUAACGCAUUAAGUAUUCCGCCUGGGGAGUACGGCCGCAAGGCU